rnacentral:rRNA from 1 species
UAGGGAAUCUUCGGCAAUGGACGAAAGUCUGACCGAGCAACGCCGCGUGAGUGAAGAAGGUUUUCGGAUCGUAAAACUCUGUUGUUAGAGAAGAACAAGGACGUUAGUAACUGAACGUCCCCUGACGGUAUCUAACCAGAAAGCCACGGCUAACUACGUGCCAGCAGCCGCGGUAAUACGUAGGUGGCAAGCGUUGUCCGGAUUUAUUGGGCGUAAAGCGAGCGCAGGCGGUUUCUUAAGUCUGAUGUGAAAGCCCCCGGCUCAACCGGGGAGGGUCAUUUGAUACUGGGAGACUUGAGUGCAGGAGAGGAGAGUGGAAUUCCAUGUGUAGCGGUGAAAUGCGUAGAUAUAUGGAGGAACACCAGUGGCGAAGGCGGCUCUCUGGUCUGUAACUGACGCUGAGGCUCGAAAGCGUGGGGAGCAAACAGG